rnacentral:rRNA from 1 species
CUGGGGGAAGAAGUUCCCCAGGACUCAGCAUCGGCUAACUCCGUGCCAGCAGCCGCGGUAAUACGGAGGAUGCAAGCGUUAUCCGGAAUUAUUGGGCGUAAAGCGUCCGCAGGUGGUACAUCAAGUCUGCUGUCAAAGACCGGAGCUCAACUCCGGGCAGGCAGUGGAAACUGGGUGAACUAGAGUACGGUAGGGGUAGAGGGAAUUCCCAGUGUAGCGGUGAAAUGCGUAGAGAUUGGGAAGAACACCAGUGGCGAAGGCGCUCUACUGGGCCGUAACUGACACUAAGGGACGAAAGCUAGGGUAGCGAAAGGGAUUAGAUACCCCUGUAGUCCUAGCCGUAAACGAUGGAUACUAGGCGUUGCUUGUAUCGACCCGAGCAGUGCCGUAGCUAACGCGUUAAGUAUCCCGCCUGGGGAGUACGCACGCAAGUGUGAAACUCAAAGGAAUUGACGGGGGCCCGCACAAGCGGUGGAGUAUGUGGUUUAAUUCGAUGCAACGCGAAGAACCUUACCAGGGCUUGACAUGUCCGGAACUGCGGGGAAACUCGCAGGUGCCUUAGGGAACCGGAACACAGGUGGUGCAUGGCUGUCGUCAGCUCGUGUCGUGAGAUGUUGGGUUAAGUCCCGCAACGAGCGCAACCCUCGUCCUUAGUUGCCAGCAAUGAGGUUGGGCACUCUAGGGAGACUGCCGGUGACAAACCGGAGGAAGGUGGGGAUGACGUCAAGUCAGCAUGCCCCUUACGUCCUGGGCAACACACGUACUACAAUGGUCGGGACAAAGGGCAGCGAGCUCGCGAGAGUAAGCGAAUCUCAGCAAACCCGGCCUCAGUUCAGAUUGCAGGCUGCAACUCGCCUGCAUGAAGGAGGAAUCGAGGGUAAUCGCAGGUCAGCAUAUCGGUGAAUUCGUUCCCGGGCCUUGACCCCGCCC